rnacentral:rRNA from 1 species
UACGUAGGUGGCAAGCGUUGUUCGGAAUUAUUGGGCGUAAAGGGCGCGUAGGCGGUUUGCUAAGUCAGUUGUGAAAGCCCGGGGCUCAACCCCGGAGGGUCGGCUGAUACUGGUGGACUAGAGUACGGAAGAGGUAGCUGGAAUUCCCGGUGUAGCGGUGAAAUGCGUAGAGAUCAGGUGGAACACCGAUGGCGAAGGCAGCCUCCUGGACGGGUACUGACGCUGAGGCGCGAAAGCGUGGGGAGCGAACGGG